GCGGGGUUAGCUCAGCUGGGAGAGCGUCAGACUGAAGUUCGACUUUAGGAUCAUAUAAUCUGAAGGCCGUGCGUUCGAUCCGCACACACCGCA
rnacentral:tRNA from 1 species